AUCAUAUAUAACUAAAAUUAAAAUUUUAUAUGAAUAAUAAUUUUUUUAUUUUAAAAAUAUUCUGUAUAUUUUUUCAAGCAUAUAAUUAAUAGCAAGGUAGGCAAUAGCGGGCAUAUGCUGUUACUUGGUAACUUGGAGGGCUUCCGGCUUGGCUACUUAGGGUGAGAGACAGCAAAAGAAAAAGAGAGAAACAUAUUGAAAAUUUAGAGCUCCGUGACAGAAAGAAAGAAAGGAAAAAUGUAUAAAUUUAGUGAAAUUUUGCUCUUUUAUUUGUCUAUUGGAUUUGUUUUUAUGGCUAACAACAUUGGCCUAAUUUUAACUAAAUUGAGAUUAU
rnacentral:lncRNA from 1 species